UUUCAGGACCAGGACCACUUUGGGAGGCUUUUUUUGGUCUCUUUUUAGAGUUUUACCUAAAACAGGAAGGUAUCUAGUCAACCUUGUGCCAACGGUCUCCAAGAACUGGGAAGGGCAGCCACUUUCCUGCACGAGCCAAGCUUUUCCAGAAAGUCAUCAGAGCUGUUUCCUGUGCUCAGCCAUGCUUCCAGUCCUCAUCUCAUUCCUGGGGAUACAUUUUUUCCUGGGAGAUGUCCAAACACAGACAGUUUCUCAGUCUGAUGCCCAUGUCACUGUCUUCGAAGGAGACUCGGUGGAGCUGAGAUGCAACUAUUCCUAUGGUGGAACCCCUUACCUCUUCUGGUACAUCCAGCACCAUGGCCAUGGCCUCCAGUUACUCCUCAAGUACUAUUCAGGAGACUCAGUGGUUCAUGGCAUGAAUGGCUUUGAGGCUAAGUUCAGCAAGAGUGACUCUUCCUUCCACCUGCAGAAAGCCUCUGUGCACUGGAGCGACUCAGCUGUGUACUUCUGUGCCAUGAGCGCACAGUGUGUGGGGCUGCAGGGGGAGCUGAGCACAAACCUAUAA